rnacentral:rRNA from 1 species
ACGGGAGGCAGCAGUGGGGAAUAUUGCACAAUGGGCGAAAGCCUGAUGCAGCGACGCCGCGUGAGUGAAGAAGUAUUUCGGUAUGUAAAGCUCUAUCAGCAGGGAAGAAAAUGACGGUACCUGACUAAGAAGCUCCGGCUAAAUACGUGCCAGCAGCCGCGGUAAUACGUAUGGAGCAAGCGUUAUCCGGAUUUACUGGGUGUAAAGGGAGCGUAGACGGUAUGGUAAGUCUGAAGUGAAAGCUCGAGGCUCAACUUCGGAAUUGCUUUGGAAACUAUCAUACUAGAGUGCAGGAGAGGCAAGUGGAAUUCCUAGUGUAGCGGUGAAAUGCGUAGAUAUUAGGAGGAACACCAGUGGCGAAGGCGGCUUACUGGACUGUAACUGACGUUGAGGCUCGAAAGCGUGGGGAGCAAACAGGAUUAGAUACCCUGGUA